rnacentral:lncRNA from 1 species
AUUCAAAUAUAAUGUAAAAUCAUACUUUGUAUGUUUAUGUUUGUUAAUUUGAAUGCCUUUGCAGAAAAAUAUAAUUAAAUUCUUGAUCUAAAUUAUAAUUUUUUAGAAUAUAUAGAUUGUAUCUUAAUUAUAUACUAAAUUAAAUAAUUAUAGUUUUUAAAAUUAAAGAAGAAAAAAGCACUGAGAUUUUCUAAUUUCAAAGCGAAUGGGCCGAACAAAUGUUAUACUCUCGUUUUUAGCCCCAACGAAACCAGAAAAGGAAAGAAGAAGGGGUUUAAACAAAG